GCCUGUUCCAGCAAUAUAGCUCAGUUGGUUAGAGCGUGGUGCUGAUGACACCGAGGUUGCAGAUUUGAUCCAUGUAUGGGGGCA